GACCCGCGUGGGUGAUGAAGGCUUCGGGUUGUAAAGCCCUGUCGGUUGGGAAAAAGGUAGUCGUGUUAAUACCACGAUUGCUUGAUGGUACCAGCAAAGGAAGUAGCGGCUAACUCUGUGCCAGCAGCCGCGGUAAUACAGAGGCUACAAGCGUUGUUCGGAAUUACUGGGCGUAAAGGGCGCGUAGGCGGUCUUCUAAGUCAGAUGUGAAAGCCUGGGGCUUAACCCCAGAAGUGCAUUUGAAACUGGAAGGCUAGAGUGCAGUAGAGAAUGGCGGAAUUCCCAGUGGAGAGGUGAAAUUCGUAGAUAUUGGGAGGAACACCGGUGGCGAAGGCGGCCAUUUGGGCUGUAACUGACGCUGAGGCGCGAAAGCGUGGGUAGCAAACAGGAUUAGAUACCCUGGUAGUCCACGCUGUAAACUAUGGAUACUCGCUGUGGCUGGUAUUGACCCCGGCCGUAGCCAAGUUAACACGUUAAGUAUCCCGCCUGGGGAGUACGGUCGCAAGAUUAAAACUCAAAGGAAUUGACGGGGGACCGCACAAGCGGUGGAUUAUGUGGUUUAAUUCGAAGCAACGCGCAUACCUUACCCAGCUUGCUUGCUCUGGAUCGGUCCUGGAGA
rnacentral:rRNA from 1 species